rnacentral:rRNA from 2 species
UUGCCCUAGUAACGGCGAGUGAAGCGGCAACAGCUCAAAUUUGAAAUCUGGCCCUCGUGGUCCGAAUUGUAAUUUGUAGAGGAUGCUUUUGGUGCGGUGCCUUCCGAGUUCCCUGGAACGGGACGCCGGAGAGGGUGAGAGCCCCGUACGGUUGGACACCUAGCCUCUGUAUAGCUCCUUCAACGAGUCGAGUAGUUUGGGAAUGCUGCUCUAAAUGGGAGGUAAAUUUCUUCUAAAGCUAAAUACCGGCCAGAGACCGAUAGCGCACAAGUAGAGUGAUCGAAAGAUGAAAAGCACUUUGAAAAGAGGGUUAAAUAGCACGUGAAAUUGUUGAAAGGGAAGCGUUUGCGACCAGACCUUUUCCGGGCGGAUCAUCCGGCGUUCUCGCCGGUGCACUUCGCCCGGUUUAGGCCAGCAUCGGUUUUCUUAGGGGGAUAAAGGCUUGGGGAAUGUAGCUCUUUCGGGAGUGUUAUAGCCCCUUGCGUAAUACCCUUUGGGGGACCGAGGACCGCGCUCUGCAAGGAUGCUGGCGUAAUGGUCGUCAACGACCCGUCUUGAAACACGGACCAAGGAGUCGAACAUUUGUGCGAGUGUUUGGGUGUUAAACCCUCACGCGUAAUGAAAGUGAACGGAGGUGAGAGCCCUUACGGGUGCAUCAUCGACCGAUCCUGAUGUCUUCGGAUGGAUUUGAGUAAGAGCAUAACUGUUCGGACCCGAAAGAUGGUGAACUAUGCGUGGAUAGGGUGAAGCCAGAGGAAACUCUGGUGGAGGCUCGCAGCGGUUCUGACGUGCAAAUCGAUCGUCAAAUCUGCGCAUGGGGGCGAAAGACUAUCG